GUGUUUGCUUCAGCAGCACAUAUACUAAAAUUUGAAUGAUACAGAGUUUAAUUUGCAUGGCCCCUGCACAAGGAUGAUGUGCAAAUUAUUAAAAUGUUUCAUAUCUUU